AUCUCGGUGAUGUAGUGGUAGCACGCGUCCCUGAUAUGGACAAAACGCUGGUUCGACUCCCGUCUGAGGUC